rnacentral:sRNA from 2 species
ACCAGCAAACGACGCAUGUACUGUACAACAGAAAAUCACACAGAGCUCUGCACCAGAGAGAAGUAAAUACAGAUUGUCAAUAUAUUUCAAAACCAUUCUGAAACUUCCACCUCAAACUCUGCAAAGGAAGGGAGCUGAAUGAAAGGAGAUGAUAUUUGAGAUGUGCCUCUCUGUUUUCCUGAGCUGCGAUCACAGUCUGAAUAAGGACAUAUCCACUCCUUCUCUUUUUGAUGAAUCUCUUCUACAUGACGGCGCAUGUUAUGUUUCCGGGUAAACAAUUGAUUGCAACCGGGGAUUGUGCACUUGUAUGGGUGGUCAUGUUUAUCCAUGUGUUUGCUGUUCAUGUACUUAACACAUAGCUCAAGAAAUGGGAACCAUAUUCAAAAAAGGGG